rnacentral:rRNA from 1 species
UACGGGGGGGGGCAAGCGUUGUUCGGAAUUACUGGGCGUAAAGGGCCAGUAGGCGGCCAACUCAGUCGGAUGUGAAAUCCCCAGGCUUAACCUGGGAACUGCAUCCGAUACUGGCUGGCUUGAAUUCGGGAGAGGGAUGCAGAAUUCCAGGUGUAGCGGUGAAAUGCGUAGAUAUCGUAAGGAAGACCAGUGGCGAAGGCGGGUCUCUGGACAGUUCCUGACGCUGAGGCACGAAGGUCAGGGGAGCAAACGGG